CCUACGUGAGGCAGCAGUGGGGAAUAUUGCACAAUGGGGGAAACCCUGAUGCAGCGACGCCGCGUGAGUGAAGAAGUAAUUCGUUAUGUAAAGCUCUAUCAGCAGGGAAGAAAAUGACGGUACCUGAGUGAGAAGCCCCGGCUAACUACGUGCCAGCAGCCGCGGUAAUACGUAGGGGGCAAGCGUUAUCCGGAUUUACUGGGUGUAAAGGGAGCGUAGACGGCAGUGCAAGUCUGGAGUGAAAGGCGGGGGCUCAACCCCCGGACUGCUCUGGAAACUGUACGGCUGGAGUGCAGGAGAGGUAAGUGGAAUGCCUAGUGUAGCGGUGAAAUGCGUAGAGAUUAGGAGGAACACCAGUGGCGAAGGCGGCUUACUGGACUGUAACUGACGGUGAGGCUCGAAAGCGUGGGGAGCAAACAGGAUUAGAUACCCUUGUAGUC
rnacentral:rRNA from 1 species